AGCUGCUCCGUUAUUGUGUGGCUGGUGACGCCUUUUCUUUCCGGAGGAAUAUUAAUCUAUGUAGGCUUAGUGGUUUUUGAAAUUUUAAGAUGAAGAGCGGUUAUUGGAACUAUGCUUCUUGCAUAUUUUUUUCGACUUACACUUUGGUCACUUCAUUUAUUAUUACCAAACCUGGUAAUUUUAGUAAUUCUACACUGACAGUUUCAAGGACAAAUGAAACAGAAUGGACCUGGGACAAUCGCACGAAUGGAUUUAUAAAGAUGCGCGUAAAUCCAAACAGCUACACAUUUUAUCUAGUUGGAAUGGCUUUCCUUGGAGGAUUUAUAGGAGGUUUCGUUCUUCGUUGCGUAUAUGCGUUAGUAAUUUCUCAUUUAUCGACUUUAGAAUCCAGCAGAUCUGAACAUGCUGGUGGAAUUUUCAAUCUUUCGUUCAUUGGUGAUGAUUCAAGACCCCCUGUAAACGAUAAUCCUCCAGACUACGACACGGUUGUGUCAGAUGGAGUUGCUGAUUCUGAAGAAGCAUCACGAAAUAGAUUUCUAAACUGGCUGCGAAGAAAGAUAGGAGCUGCCAAGAGUAGAAGUCAGUCUAAUGAAGAAUUACCACCAAGCUAUGAAACUGCCAUUCAGAAUAACACAGCAGAAAUGCAUAACAGUGGUUUAUCCCGGUAAUUAUUUAAAAUUUGAGAAUGUGUUCAAAUUAAGAAAUAUUGGAAUUAAACUGUACAUGACAACAGAAUGAUAUAUAAGCUUUUAAUAUGAAUCGUUCAUUUCUGUACCGUAUUACAAUAACUAGCCAUACGUAUGUGAGAUAUAACAGUAUCUCCAACGAUAUGAAUUGCCCAAAAUUGAGAUAUUCAACAGUGUUUCGUACAUUUAAUAAAUAAAAUUUUAAAAACUACUUUAUAUGCACUGGAGUAGAGAAAUAUCAGAGAAACGUGUGUAAGUAAUUUGUGGUAAAAUAUGUUGUUUCUGUAAGUAUAAUAUAAGAAAGGCAUUGUUGUUGUUGUUGAUCUUAACUGGUUACCUAUUAAGUUAGACAGACCCAUGAGCCCAAGAACUGUCAAUAAAUCCAAAUCGAAGGUAGGUCUUUUCAACAGGUCCUCUUUCAUAAGUCCCAAACCGGUGAGAAGAUGUUCAGGAGGGAAAUGAUCAGAAUUACAUUUACUACAGAUGGGAUGAUCCGUAGAUGAUCCUACAGAUGGAUGAUGGGAUGAUCCUACAGAUGGGAUGAUCUGUAUUUCCUACAGAUGGGAUGAUCUACAGAUGGGAUGAUAAGAUAGAGAUUAUUUCCCCGGUCAAAUUUAAGGCGUUUCAGCCUCGUCAAAGUACUCUGCUGAAUACGAUUAUCUCCAAAGGCAAUAGCACCUCCCGACUACUUGGCCAAGGUACCAGUCAUGAGCCAGAAGAGAAUAACAGGAAGAUGCAACAGUAGAUUUAACUCUCGAGUAAAUCUCCAAAAACGUCAAGGUGCCAAUGGUUAAAGUCAUUGAAGUACGCAUCAGCCAUUUCAUUACCAUUCAGGCCAAUAAUAUGUGAAAUGAUCCACAGUAUUGAAGAGAUCCAAUAUGUAAAGACAUAAAUUGCGCUACUUUAAAUAAUAAAACAUCUAGUUGUAUCAAAUUUCUAUUCAUUUAUUGCUUUCUGAUAACAGUUUUUGGAAGUAAAAAAGGGAACUUACGGGUAUGUGUAUCUUCCCAUGUCUCGUGAGUAGAUAAGUGCUGUUGCUGUACUGUUGCUAGAAUAAGAGACUAUGAUAUAUCCUCGUGGAUCUCAUCUCCUACUCAAAUUAUUGACUUAUUGCAAUUUAAUAAAUUAAUUAAAAAGGGUGGUGAUGCGCAUACAAGAAUGAAAUAUGAAAUAUACAGAAAAUGCAUGCAGCUUGUUCACUGUCUUCACCCUUGGGAUUGAAAAUGGAUGCAUAAGUGAAUCAGCGAAGAACUGGUCAACAGCUGCUUCACUUAUAGAUCCCUCCAUCGACCCCGUGUAUAACCAAUAUAUAGUUAUUGGCGUCGCUUCUUUCUUUUCCUUCGUGCUCUUUGCUAUUGUUGGAUUUCUCAUUAUUAGGUGGCUGAAGAUACCCUACAAAUACGAUAUUGGACAGAAUGUUGAGACUUGCACUGAAAGCGAGGAUGAAGUAUUGCUUGAUGAUAGUGAUGAUGAGUUAUGGCCUCAGUUUCAAUCCUCACAGUUACAAGUCAAAGAGCCAUUUCAAGGACAACCAUCAGCCUUUCAGAAUAUGCCUGAAUAUGAUUGCAGAUCUUUGGAUGCUGAACUUGAUGGAAGCGAAGAGCUUGAGAAAGUUCUAGACAGUUUUCCUCGAGUUGUUAUAUCACAGAACUCUAGAACCUUUCGUUCGAAUUCCUUGUGGAGGUAGCACAAAUUCAUAUUUCCGAAAAUUUGAUGUAUAUUGUUCAGAAAUUAUGUGAAAAAGUUAAACUAUUUUACACUUUGCCACUGUUCGAAUAUUACAUGACUAUAUAUUUUGAAAACCAUCACAAAGGACUCUUACAUUAUCAUCCGUUAUUUAUUUUAGAAUGUUGUGUUACUUUGUAUUGUCCUGUAUUCUUCAAUAAAGUGUACUUUUAUUUAAAA
rnacentral:misc_RNA from 1 species